AUUGAACGCUGGCGGCAGGCUUAACACAUGCAAGUCGAGCGGUAACAGAGAGAAGCUUGCUUCUCUGCUGACGAGCGGCGGACGGGUGAGUAAUGCCUAGGAAUCUGCCUAGUAGUGGGGGAUAACUUGGCGAAAGGUAAGCUAAUACCGCAUACGUUCUACGGGAGAAAGGAGGGGACCUUCGGGCCUUCCGCUCUUAGAUUCGCCUAGGUCGGAUUAGUUAGUUGGUGAGGUAAUGGCUCACCAAGACCGCGAUCCGUAACUGGUCUGAGAGGAUGAUCAGUCACACUGGAACUGAGACACGGUCCAGACUCCUACGGGAGGCAGCAGUGGGGAAUAUUGGACAAUGGGGGGAACCCUGAUCCAGCCAUGCCGCGUGUGUGAAGAAGGUCUUAGGAUUGUAAAGCACUUUAAGUUGGGAGGAAGAGCAGUUAACUAAUAUUUGACUGUUUUGACGUUACCGACAGAAUAAGCACCGGCCAACUUCGUGCCAGCCGCCGCAGUAA
rnacentral:rRNA from 1 species